GUUGUUGGGGAAGAAAAGGACCACAGAGAACAGGGAAGAUUAAAUAAUUCUUGUCUGGGAAUAGGGAACAGGAUCUCUCUGCCUCAAGGGGGGAUGUCUCCUGGAGGUCUGGUGUGGGCUGAGCAGUGGGAAGUGGGCAAAUGGGCUGUUGGGGAACCUGUCAGGAGGGGAGUGGGGCCCAGGGAUCCAUCAUGCCUCUGUUUACUCUGUUACUUUGGUUCUUAAGUUAUCAAAGACUUUUGUUAAGAAGGCCCCAAUGUUUGAAAGUGGUUCUAAUCCUGGCUAUGAUCAUUAGUAAACAUGUCUGCAGGUGGGGCAGAAGCUCUUAUUUAUAUAAACAAAAGUGGGCCAUCAGCUGAGGAGUAGCUCUAAAGCCAAUGCACAAUCCUGCUCUGUGGUCACAACAUCCACACUGGCUGGCAUUUGGGCAUUAGAUGUAGUGUACACACAGCCAUUGCAGGCCCCAAGUACAGUGGGUUUUGCUCUUGGAUUAUCUUUACUUCUGAUUCUUAGGGCAAUGCUUUGAGCUUUGGAAUCACCCCUGCCCGUGAAACUCUCCACAAGAGGCCUGUAGCC
rnacentral:lncRNA from 1 species